AACGAACGCUGGCGGCAUGCCUAACACAUGCAAGUCGAACGAAGCCUUCGGGUUUAGUGGCGCACGGGUGCGUAACGCGUGGGAAUCUGCCCUUGGGUUCGGAAUAACAGUUAGAAAUGACUGCUAAUACCGGAUGAUGUCUUCGGACCAAAGAUUUAUCGCCCAAGGAUGAGCCCGCGUAGGAUUAGGUAGUUGGUGGGGUAAUGGCCCACCAAGCCGACGAUCCUUAGCUGGUCCGAGAGGAUGAUCAGCCACACUGGGACUGAGACACGGCCCAGACUCCUACGGGAGGCAGCAGUGGGGAAUAUUGGACUAUGGGCGAAAGCCUGAUCCAGCAAUGCCGCGUGAGUGAUGAAGGCCUUAGGGUUGUAAAGCUCUUUUACCAGGGAUGAUAAUGACAGUACCUGGAGAAUAAGCUCCGGCUAACUCCGUGCCAGUCGCCGCAGUAAUAC
rnacentral:rRNA from 1 species